rnacentral:rRNA from 1 species
GCUAAAAACUUAGCCUUANUUCUACAAUUAUACUUACCAUAUUUUACUUACACAAAAUAAAACAUUCUUUAAGCUUAGUAAAGGAGAUAAAAAAGUUUUUUAGAGCUAUAAAAUAAGUACCGCAAGGGAAUAAUGAAAUAAAAAUGAAACAAAAUUCAAGCAUAACAAAGUAGAGCUUUUCCCUCGUACCUUUUGCAUCAUGAUUCAACUAGUUUAACCACGCAAAAAGAGUUUAAGUUUGACUUCCCGAAACUAAGUGAGCUACUUCAGGGCAGCUAAAUGAGCCAACCCGUCUCUGUUGCAAAAGAGUGGGAUGACCCUUAAGUAGAGGUGAUAAGCCUAACGAACUUAGUGAUAGCUGGUUAUUCAGGAAAAGAAUUUUAGUUCAACUUAAAAUUACAUAAAUAAAAUAAAAUAAAAUUUUAAUUUUAAAGCAAUUCAAAUAAGGUACAGCCUAUUUGAAAUAGAAUACAAUCUAAACUAUAGGGUAAAUAUNNAAAAUUAAUGUAAUAAAGUAGGCCUAAAAGCAGCCAACUUUAAAAUAGCGUCAAAGCUUACUUCCAUAAAUUUUUAAUACCAUUAUUUACAAUGAACCCUUUAUUUUCACUGAAUAUUUCUAUAAAAUUAUAGAACCUUUUAUGUUGAAACUAGUAACAAGAAGUUAAACUUCUCCUCAAUGUAAGUAUAAGUCAACUAGGAUGAACCAUCGACAAUUAACACUAAAAUUAAAUGUAUUAACUCCACAAGAAAAACUUACAUUAUCCAAUGUUAAUCUUACACCAGAACAUUUAAGGAAAGAUUNAAAAAA